CAGAAAUGAAAUAAAGCAACAUCUAUAACUUAAAGUUAAAACUACACUCUGAUAAAAUUGACAUGUUAUCAUCGAAAGACAGUCAGUUGAGAAAACAUUUGAUUUACUGAAGCAGUAUUUUAACAUAACAUUCUUUUUACUGUUAAAAGCAAAAGUAUAAUAACAAUUUAUUUGUUUAAUAUAAAAGACUUUUAUUUUGUGUUAAAAAAGACUUCACAAUUUUUUUAUUUUUUUUUCGGAGACAGGAGCACUAUGUUUAUUUUAGUGCAUGGUUUUUAGCCGCCUUCUCAAAAUCUCGAAUUACUUGACUAUAGAAAGUGGGAAAAGUCGGGGUGAAUAACCACAAUUUACAAGUACAUUUCAUUGUCAAACACAAUUUACAUUUUACAUCGUAG
rnacentral:lncRNA from 1 species